UUUCAUGGAAAGCAUUUUCUUUACUAUUUACUCAAGCAUUUUAGCUAGUUUCGAAAGCUCCAACAAGCAAUGGCCUAGCCCCUGGCUAUAAAGUAAAGACCGAGGACUUGCCUUUCCCAACAUCUGUCUCGCUUCCAAACCAAAGGAACUAAAUGCCUCCCUGUUCGGGAAAGAGGACAACAAGGGCUAGGCCCUCCCUAUCAAACAUUUGUAACUAACUACUGAAGGAAGCGGAUCGAUCGAAAGAGGACUCACUAUAGGUUCGAUCGACUUCUUUCUCUUGACUAUUGAGGAUCUUGAUCGGCUAGGUAGGGGAGAUCUCCUAUCCCAGUUCAGGCCAAGACGAGGAUACAGAAGUGGAUGGAGGGAUUGCCCUAAUACUUAAGUCAGGCUAAAAGGGAGAUAUGGUCUGGAAUAGGUAUGGG
rnacentral:lncRNA from 1 species